rnacentral:rRNA from 1 species
AUUGAACGCUGGCGGCAGGCCUAACACAUGCAAGUCGAACGGUAACAGGCAACAGCUUGCUGUUUCGCUGACGAGUGGCGGACGGGUGAGUAAUGUCUGGGCAACUGCCUGAUGGAGGGGGAUAACUACUGGAAACGGUAGCUAAUACCGCAUAACGUCGCAAGACCAAAGAGGGGGGGCCUCGGGCCUCUUGCCAUCGGAUGUGCCCAGAUGGGCGGAGUUUGUUGGUGGGGUAACGGCUCACCAAGGUGGCGAGCUCUCGCUGGUCGGAGAGGAUGACAAGCCACAUGGGAACUUGGACACGGUCCAUACGCCUACGGGAGGCACCAGUGGGGAAUAGUGCACAAUAGUCGGAAGCCUGAUGCAACCAUGCCGAGUGUAAGAAAGAGGCCCUCGGGUUGGAAAGUACUUUCAGCGGUUAGGAAGGGAGUAAAGUUAAUACCGUGGCUCAUUGACGGUACCCGCAGAAGAAGCACCGGCUAACUCCGUG